ensembl:lncRNA
CUGUGCUUAAGGCUGUACACCCCGGGGUUUUGCUUUGCUUGCUUUCUGCUAUGUAAUUCUCUUACUAAAUGUCUGUAUGUAUUUUUCCUGCUGUUCAUAUGAUUCAGUGUAUUAAACUCUGUUCCAAGAAUUCUACUCUUUUACAGAGCAUCUUUUUGAGUGUCUUGAUUUUAAUUGGAUUUGGAUCUCCACAUCGUUGGUGGAAGAAGGUUAUCAGGAUGGCUUCAAAAUUUGCGACCACAAUUGGCGACCACGAAGGGACAAGGAAUUAAGGUGAUUGCUGGGAGCCUUGGGGAAUGCCAAAGCCUUGCACAUCAGAGAACACCAAGCGGCCGCUACAAUAAGUGUACAGAGGUAGAGUUUGAAGCACUAAGGAGGGACAUGCAGUCUGACAGGGCACAUGGCAACCAAAAGGAAAGAGAAGACCAUUUCAUUGGUGUGGGGCAAACUGAGAAGAUUAAGGUAAGGCAGAGUUGAGUCAGCAUGAUUAAACCUUCACAGGUGAGCAACUAUUGACCUAGUACAAUCCAAAUUUACAAACUGUUGUAAUAGACCUUUUACCCUGCUAUUAGAACUGUUUGUUUUUCAGUAGGUCUCAAUGUUCAUCAUGGCCAUCCAGGUGUAUUAUAAACAUAAUACCAGUUACAUGUAUUAAUUAUGGUCCAAAAUUUACUAUCAUUCAAGUUAAGGAAAAUGGGGUGUGAAGUAAUUGUCUGCCUCAGAGUCCACUGCCCGGAUAUGUAACAGGGUCCAAUUAGGGAAUUUCUUAUGAUUACUGUCUAUAAACAACCCAUGCAUGAAAAUUUGUAUGAAUAGUCUAAUACAGCUGUUUUAGCUUUUCAGUGUCUAUUUUUCUAUAAGAACAAAGGCUGUAUAGUAUUCAACUCAAGGUUGAACAGGUAUGAAAUUGCGAUGCCAGUCAUCUAAGGGCACUUCAGUAUCUAAGGAUAAACUGCAAAAUUAAAACAUUACAAAACUAUUAUUUAUCUGACCCCCUUUUAGCAAGAAACUUGGAGAGGAGGAACUCCCUUUUUAACAGGAAUAAAUGCCCAGUAGAACUGGGCACAGGGGGGAGUGGUCAUCUGCUGUGACCAGCUGAGUGAAGAGAAGGAGACAGGACUAAAAACAUGCUGUGUAGGAGAGUCAGAGAUUGAUAAUAACUAAUAAUAACUUCAAAGAGAGACCUAAAAACUGGUGGCCUGGCUUCCCAUUCUACUUUUAAAUAUUCUAGUGAGCUUAAAGUUUGAGAGUCAAGUGGGGAGAUACAGUACUAUAGGAGCAGGAUGGUAAUUAAAAAAACAGAUUUAACAAGGAGCCUAUGAAGAAAAGUCAAUAAAAGAAAUAUACUCUGUCAUUCUAGUCCCUUUCAGUAUUCAUGUGCAACAUUUUGAUGUAGUUGAAUGCUUUUUAAGGAGUUUUUACCACAACCUGAUAAUAAUAAUAGCUCAGCCUAGAAGUAAUAAAUGCAUGAACUUGUUUUCCAGCAUCACUCUGGGACAGGACUUUAGAGAUAUUGCAGAAAUUGAAGAAAACAGUCUCUAAAAAGUGCAUAUUAGUGCAUAUUGAGAUAAACAAAUGACUCCAAGAAACCUCACAGUGUUAAUGGAGACCAAGGUAAUGCCAUUCAGAGCAUUCCUUUGGGUUGACUGAUAGGUGUGUGUUGCCUGGCUUCAUGGAUGGAUGAGAGAGAGGUGUCAUCAGCACGGCAGAGGUAUGUUGUGACUUUUGUGGUGUUACCUAAAGGAGGCACAUGUUAUGUAAACAGAAAUAGAUCUUGGGGUGGAACCUUGUGAAGCUCAAUGGUUAGUCUUGUGUAUGUGGGAGGAUUCUUAGAAUAACAUGUUCACAAGUAUCGAACAUAGAGAUCAAUCCACUGUCAGAGGCCUUAAGAAGAUCAUUUUUAACUUUCAUCGAAGCUGUUUCUAUACUGUGAUGUGCUCUGAAACCUGACUGAAACUCUUUAAAUAAGGCAUUCCUCUGUGACUAUUUUACAGCAUCUCUUGUGGGGAUUUUUGACAUAAAGGAAAGUUGGAGGCCUAUAAUUGGCUAGGACAGUUAGGUCAAGUGAUGGUUUUUGAGUGAUGGUUUAACUACUGCCAAUAUGAAGAACUGUGUGGUUAAUAUUGCAUUGUCUAACUUAGCUUUGAAAAUUCCAAUUCGGCGGCUAUAGAGGUGUGGGAAGUUUGAUCAGCCAUAUAGCCAGCAACGCUAAGUUUUGGGCUAACAGCGCUAAUGAUGAAUUGUGAAUUGGCAGCUGGUAACAGAGUUAAUGUUUAUUCAAAUUCAUAGCUAAAUGAAACAACCUUGUAGAGCUUUACUAUGCACUUCCUAAAUUGAUAGCUAGGUAAAGAUAAGUAAAGCUUUCUCUUUAUAACAGCAUUUGGGACAAACAUUUCAAAGUGCUUCACAAAAUAAAGCAAUGAGUUGGAAUUUGUUAAGGAAGAGGUCAACUGGGUACAACUAUUAACUUUAGUACUAAGGUGCAUGCAGUCGUGAACUAACAAGACUAAAACAACUAACAUUGCAUGGCAUACUCACAAAGAUCCAUAGAUAAGUCCUCAUAAAGGGCCUGUAUUGGUAACUGUGAACACAACUAAUGCAGUCUGCAAAGCUAUCUUUCUGCAGGUGGAGAUGGCAUCUGGAUAACAGACGGAGAUGCAGAGGUCCUGGAGCAGGUGCUGGUGAUGCGAGGGGACAACGGAGUGAAACAGGCUGCUCCAGACAGCUGAACCAUGACCCAUCCAGUAGCUGUUGAACCUGCUGCAGAGCCUACAGCCCAAGCGGAGCCAUACAGUGCCCAAACCAGCUUCCGAAUGAUGGCUGUGCAAGAUCAACUACUACCCAUCGCUGACCCUGACUUUAAUCAAGAGUAGGACCAAGUCGUCUCAAGUAUUCUUAGAAGCUAUGCGAGAUCCAGCAGCAAGAAGUACCAAGAGAGACUUUUCUCGGACUCAUAAAUUGGUUGAAAUAUGGGACUGAAAAAGGGACACAAGUUGAGUAAAGGUUGAAGCUGCUGCAGAGAAAUGUCAACCUUGAAGCUAACAAAGGACAUUUCAAAGCCCACACUGAGAAGUUGUUCAAAAAAGAAGUUGCACCUGACCAAGAUGAAAUCCAAAAUUGGGAAUUAAUUGUUUAAUUGUUUUAUUUUUAAUGUCACUAAUGGUGUUGUGUAAUCCAUGUAUGUAUAUGUGUCUCUACUGAUGUGUUUUAUGCCUUACUUUCAUUUUCCUGUAAUUAGGCUGAUUUUUAAGUUUCUUGAGUAUUCUGUUUAGGAUACUGUGUAGUAUGAUUUGCAAAUGAAGAUGAAUCAAUUUGUCUUAAAUUAAUUGACUAAGAGAAAUGGAAUCUUGGGAGAAUGUUAUGUUGAUAACUGUGAGGUUAUUGGUGGAAGGAAGGGCUUAUUCAUUUGAGCAACAACUGUGUGGGAUCUUUAUACAAAUUCUUAUGUUCUAUGUAGAGCUUGCUUUAAAAUAUGUUAGCAAAAAAACAGCGCAUACAUUAGUUUUCACGAUUUUGUUCUUCUUUAGUCAUGGG